rnacentral:lncRNA from 1 species
AGGCAGAGUCGGGCGUCCGCGUCCUCCCGGCCAGCUCGACCGUCUUCUCUAUUGGGAGUCUCUGGUACUCAGGCUGGAGUGCGGUGGUGUGAUCUUGGCUCACUGUAAACUCAAGCUCCUGAACUCAAGCAAUUCUCCUGCCUUGGCCUCCCAAAGUGCUGGGAUUGCAGGUGUGAACUGCCACACCUGGCUCCCCGACUAUUCCUGUAUCAGAAAUGUAACUCACCCACUCACCACCAGCCCACACUCUGGGUUCUCCUAUCACUCCACUGCCUGCUCCUCGGCUGAUCACAAUGGAAGAAGAGAUCAUGGCACUUGUCAUUGACAAUGGCUCCAGCACAUGCAAAGCUGGCUUUGCUGGGUAUAGUUCCCCGAGCCAUGUUCCCCUCCAUCACUGGGUAUCCCUGGCACCAGGGCAUGAUGGUGGGCAUAGGCCAGAAGGACUCCUACCUGGGUGAUGAGGCCCAGAGCAAGUGCAGCAUCCUGACCCUGAAAGUGCCCCGUGGACCACCGCAUCAUCACCAACUGGGAUGACAUGGAGAAGAUCUGGCACCACACCUUCUACGAUUAGCUGCACGUGGCUCCCAAGGAGCACCCAGUGCUGCUGCCUGAGGCCCCGCUGAACCCCAGGGCCAACAGAAAGAAGAUGACUCGGAUUGAGACCUUCAACACCCCAGCAAGGUACACAGCCAUCCAGGCUGUGCUGUCCCUGUACACCUCUGGUUACACCACUGGUAUUAUCAUACACAGCUGAGACCCACACGGUGCCCGUCUACAAGGGCUAUGCCUUCCCCCAUGCCAUCCUGCGUCUGGAUGACUGGCACCUGACCAACCACCCCAUGGAGAUCUUCAGGGAGCCCAGCUACUGCUUCACCACCACAGCCAAACGGGAGAUCUUGUGCAACAUCAAGGAGAAGCUGCGGAAAUGGCCACCACAGCGUCCUCCUCCUCCCUGGAGAAGAUCUAGGAGCUGUCCAAGUGGUUCCAGUGUCUGGAGGCGCUGUUCCAGGCCUCCUUCCUGGGUAUGGAAUCUUGUGGCAUCCACCAGGCCACCUUCAACUCCAUAAAGUGUGAUGUGCACAUCCGCAAGGACCUGUUUGCCAACAUGGUGCUGUCUGGUGACACCCCCGUGUACCUGGGCAUCACCUACAUGAUGCAGAAGAUCACGACCCUGGUGCCCAGCUCCAAGAAGAUCAUCACCUUCCCUGAGCGCAAGUCCUUGUGUGGAUUGGCAGCACCAUCCUGGCCGCCUUCCAGCAGAUGUGGAUCAUCAAGCAGGAGUAGGAUGAAUCAAGCCCCUGCAUCACCCACUGCAAAUGCUUCUAAAUGGACUGCAAGCAGACGCGUGUCAUGUGCUUCAUGGAUUAAUGCAGAAGUAUAAAUUUGCCCCUGGCAAAUGCAUACACCUCAUGCUAGCCUCAAUAAACCAGAAUAAGCCUUUCAAAAGAACUGGUCCUUGAAGCUUGUAUAUCAGCACCGGAUUGUAGAACUUGGUGCUGAUUUUGACUUUGUUAACCGUUCCCUUGGUAUUUGUUUAAUACCCUGUACAUAUCUUUGAUUUAUACCCUUAGUACAUGUGGCUCAGUAACUUCAUGGCUGAGGUGAGGACAUGCUUGUGGGAGGGAAGUCUGUGGCUUGGUGGGUCUGUGUGACCUGCAGUCUCCUUAUCUGUGCAGGUACUAAGGUGUCAGAGAGCUCAGUGUUCCAGGAUUUUCCUUUUUUUUUUUUUUUUUUGAGACAGAGUUUCGCUCUAGUUGCCCACACUAGAGUGCAAUGGCGCAACCUCGGUUCACUACAACCUCCGCCUCCUGGGUCCAAGUGAUUCUCCUGCUUCAGCCUCCCAAGUAGCUGGGAUUACGGGCAUGCGCCACCACACCCGGCUAAUUUUGUAUUUUUAGUAGAGACAGGGUUUCUCCAUGUUGGUCAGGCUAGUCUCAAACUCCCGACCUUAGGUGAUGCACUGUGCCCAGCCAUUCCAGGAUUUUUCUAGAGCCUGGCAAGAGCUCCUGAACCAGUUUCAUUUCUGUCUUGCUGGUCUAUUAGUGUUAAGUCUUGAGCUAGAAGCGGUUUACAUUUACACCUGUAAAUUUAUUCAUUCUUUUAAUUUAUGUAAGUUUUUUGUACAUAAUUCUCAAUUUUUAAAGAGAUGACCACAAAUUUUGGUUUUCCACUGUUAUUUACAUAAGGAAAAAUAAAGUGCUGCAGUAAACCAAAAAAUAAAUAUAAUUCGCUCUAACCUCUAGCUCCAUUUUCAAAAGUCUGCAUGAACUUCUUUAAAUUAGUCCCAUUAAAAUGAUAACACUACUCAGCAGAGUUUAUUUUAAAUUCUCUUCAAAACUAUUUACUGAACUAUUAUAAAUUUGUCAGACACUAGGCCAUGCACCAAGAGCAAAUAGGAUAUUCUGAGUCCUUAUUCUUAUGAAAUUUAUCAUCCUUAGAAGUGAGGAAGUAGAGUCAGGCAUUUAACUUUUUUUUUUUUUUUUGAGACGGAGUCUCACUCUGUCACCCAGGCUGGAGUGCAGUGGCGGGAUCUCAGCUCACUGCAAGCUCCACUUCCCGGGUUCACGCCAUUCUCCUGCCUCAGCCUCCUGAGUAGCUGGGACUACAGGCACCCGCCACUGUGCCCGGCUAAUUUUUUGUAUUUUUAGUAGAGAAGGGGUUUCACCGUGUUCUCUAUCUCCUGACCUCAUGAUCCGCCUGCCUCGGCCUCCCAAAGUGCUGGGAUUACAGGCAUGAGCCACCACACCCUGCUAUUAACUUUUAAAUAUGUAUAAAUUUAGGAGAUAAUGGAAAUGAAAUGCUAUCUGAUUUUGAAGGGAAGAACUGAUGUUUAGAAAAGUGGGCUUUAUAUAGAACCACUACUUACAUUCUUUUAAAAAUCUUACUGUCACCAGGCAUGGUGGCUCACACCUGUAAUCCUGUAAUCCCAGCAUUUUGGGAGGUUGAAGCAGGAGGAUCACUUGAGGCCAGGAGUUCCAGACCAGCCUGGGGAACACAGUGAGACCCCAUCUCUCCAAAAAAAAAAAAAAAAAAUAGCCAGGCAUGUCAGCAUGCACCUGUAGUCCCAGCUACUCACGAGGCUAAGAGGCAGGAGGAUCAUUUGAGCCUGGGAGUUCGAGGUUGCAGUGAGCCGCCAUCGUGCCAUUGCGCUCCAGCCUCGGUGACAGAGUGAGGCCCUGUCCCAAGAAAAAUAAAAACCUUAUUGUGAAAAUACAUGUUCAGAAAAGUACACAGAAGAUGUACAGCUCACUUUAUUACAUAGCAACUAUCAAGAUUUUAAAAUGUAGAACAUUACUAGCAUUGCAGAAGCUCUCCUCAUGCCCCCUCCAAAUCAUUACUCCUACCUUUAUCAUAAAUCAAGUGUCCUAUAUGCGUGGGUCUGUUUCUGAGCUCUUUUGUUCCAUUAGUCUGUCUAUCCUUGUGACAAGCUACACUGUCUGUCCAAUAGAAAAAUUCUCCCACCUUGUUUUUCUCCAUGACUGUCUCGGCUACUCCUCGUCCUCUGCAUUUUCAUUUAACUUUUACAAUCAGUUUGUUGAAUUUCACACACACAAACUUGAGUUUUUGACUGGGAUUUACUGAAUUUAUACAUCAGUUUGAAGUUGAGAUUGUUAACAGUAUUAGGAGUUAACAAACUUUUUUCUUAAAGGGUUAGAUAAGUAUUCUAAGCUCUGUGGGCUGAGGCAGAAUUGGAGAUAUUAUAUACUUACAUAACCAUUUACAAAACAUAAAAAUCGGCCAGGUGCGGUGGCUCACACCUGUAAUUCCAGCACUUGUGGGAGUCCAUGGUGGGAGGAUCACUUGAGCCUAAGAGUUUGAGACCAGCCUGGACAACAUGGCAAAACCCUGUCUCUACUAAAAAUACAAAUUAGCCGGGCGCACUGGCACAUGCCUGUGUUCCCAGCUACUCAGGAGGCCGAGCUGGGAGGCUCGCCUGAGCCUGGGAGGUUGAGGCUGCAGUGAGCUGUGAUUGUGCCACUGCACUCUAGGCUAGGUAACAGAGUUAAGAUCCUGUCUCAUAAAAAAAAAAGUAAAAACUAUUUUUAGCUUGAAAGUUUCUGAGCCUCAAUAGGUACUGGCUGAAUGAAUUUGGCCUGUGGGCUAUAGUUUCCUGGCCCCAUGAAUUUGUUUUCUUUUACUUUCUCUCAGUAAUGUCAUAUAAGGUUUUGUGUUGUGGUCUUACAUAUCUACUGUUAGUUAUGUCUAACCCCUAGUUUUCUAGUUCUCUCCUCAGUUGUGCCUAAGCUGCUGUUAAAGCAUUCCAGUGAACUUUAGAGACAGGGGCUCACUGUUGCCCAGGCUUGAGUAUAGUGGCAUCAUCAUAGCUCACUGAAGCUUCUAACUCCUGGGCUCAAGUGAUCCUCUCACCUCAGCCUCAAAAGUAGCUGGGACUACAAGCAGGUGCCACCACACCCAGCUAUUUUGUUUUUUGUGGAGACAGGGUCUCACUAUGUUGCCCAUGCUGGUUCCACUGUAUUUUUUCUUUUGUUGAGACGGAAUCUCUCCCUGUCCCAGGCUGGAGUGCAGUGGCACAAUCUCGGCUCACUGCAACCUCCGCCUCCUGGGUUCAAGCGAUUUUCCUGCCUCAGCCUUCGGAGUAGCUGGGAUUGCAGGCGUGCACCACCAUGCCUGGCUAAUUUUUGCAUUUUUAGUAGAGACAGGGUUUCACAUUGGCCAGGCUGGUCUUGAACUCCUGACCUCAUGAUCCGCCGGCCUUGGCCUCCCAAAGUGCUGGGAUUAUGGGCAUGAGCCACCAUGCCCAAUCAAGUUUCCACUGUAUUCUUAAUUUUGAUUAUUGGAUUCUUACAAAUUCUAGAAUUUACUUUUUAAAAAAACAUGUUCAUGUAGCUGCUGAAUUCCCAAACUAGUGUCUCUCCUUGAACAUGGUAAGCAGUUAUUUUAGUCUGAUAGCACCGAUGUCUCCAGCCACUGUGGGCCUGCUAUCUUGUCUCACGUGCCUGGUUACAUCUUGUUGUACUCAGGAUAUUGUAUUAGCAAAAUUGUAGAAAGAAUCUGGGUUUAGGAUAAUAAUAACAUCCUCUAGAGAGGGGUUUUGUUUGCUUAUCCAAAGAGUUUGGGCAAACUACCACUCUGGGAUCACCUUAAUCUAAUUUCAAGGAUUAAGAUCCGUAAUCGGAGGCUGGGCUGCAGUCCCGAGAGCCUGUUUCCUACACCGCCUCACCCUUAUUCCUGGGGUGCAAAAGACUGAGGGCUUCAACCAAAAGUGAGUAACACCACCAAGUCCAUCGCCCUUUCACAGGCCCCAUCCCCUACUUCUGAAAGGCUGCUAAAAUCACUGCUAAGCCUCUGAAUCACCUCCAAGUUUGGCAAAUGCUCCCAGGAGAACGGUGGCCCUCACACCAAGCCCACCUCCCAGGGUUCCCAUCUCCUCUGCUGUCCUGGUUUAGCAAUUCUUCAAAGUCAAGUCGGCUCUCUUGGUGUGUUCACACAGAUUUCUAAAGUAUUUUGUCCAGCCUUUCUAGUUAACCAGUGAGCUGGGUAGUCCAAAGGACCUAUCCACCAUUAUCAGAAGCAGAAGUCCUCAUAGUUACUCAGUUACAUGUGUAGCCUCAUAUACAACAUGGUGACAAUUUGUGAAAUGUCAGUACACCACUGCCCAUCUUUGAUUCCAUGUUUUUGUAAAACAACAGACAAUUAUGUGGAAACAAUCAGGCUUUCACAAAAUCAACUGCUCUCCCCAAUAGAAAACGGAAGUUUCUAUACUCGGAGCAGAAAGCACAGGUUGCCUCUAUCUACCCACAGCAAAUAGCAGCUGAUUCACAAGUAUGUACUGAGAGCCUAUUAGGUGUGAGGGAAAUGAAGAAAUGACGUUUGCAUUUUAUAGCUGACUAGAUAAUCAGUUGGUUGACCUUAAGCUAAACCCCAAGGUUCAGG